AUGGCCAUUCGGGAGGAGGUGCACAGAAAGAAUCCUAGAGUCAAGGAUAAGAGCCUUCGGCAUACGCCUGUGAGAGUGUAUGCGGUCCGGUAUCUCGACGAGACGAUGGUUGUGACGUCCGGGUCGAAGAUGCUCACACUUGAGGUCAGAGAUAGGAUCCUCACAGUGUUGGAGAGGGGCUUGGAGGUGAAGCUUGACAGGUUUGGUAGCUCAGUGCACAGUGCAAUGUCAGAGAAGAUGGAAUUCCUGGGGAUGGAGUUCCAAGCUGUGCCGCCAUCAGUCUUACACCCUCCCAUGUCUGAGAAGGCCAAGAGGGCAAGAAAGAUGUAUCUGAAGAGGAAGGCAGCAGAGGCACAGGAGCUGAAGAAUGCCCGGGAGACACGGAGGAAGAAGCUUGGGUUGAAGAUACUGAACCACCUGUUCAAGAAGGUGAGGCGUGGGCAUGAGUUCGAGUUGGGCUUCCGAAUUGAGGAUGAAGUGUCCCAGGAGUUCAAGGGUUGGGCAGAGGAGACAGUGGUCGAAUACUUCAAGUCACAGGAGCAUCGCCGUUAUUGGCACCGAUUGUUCACAUCCGGUGACUUCUUUUCACUAAAUAGGGUUAGGGAUCAGUUGCCACCAGCAUUGGUGGACUCCUAUGAUCAAUUACAGGAAACACUCGACAGGUUCUUGAUGCCGAGGAGGGGCCACGGCAUGAGUGAGGAUGAGGAGAUGCUAACAGAGGAGGAGGAUGAGAGACAGUACGAGAAGAGGAUUGUUGAGGACUUGACAGAGUUGAAGAUGAGAGUCAAUGCACCAAUAGAGCUUGUAAGAAAGGCAGUAAAGUUGGCUGGGUUCACAAAUUCCAUGGGACGGCCACGGCCAAUAAAGCUACUCAUCUGUCUGGACGAUGCAGAUAUUAUCAAAUGGUAUGCUGGUGUGGGGAGGAGGUGGCUAGAUUUCUUCUGCUGCUGUCGAAAUUUCAAGAUGGUCAAGAUUGUUGUGAGUUACCACUUGAGGUUCUCCUGCUUCUUGACAUUGGCGGAGAAGCAUGAGUGCACCAAGAGGCAAGCAAUUAGCCAUUAUACAAAGGAUUUGAAGGUGACAAAUGAAAAUGGAGUGGCAGAAGUGUACUUCCCAACAGAGAGGGAGAUCAAGAUGAUGGGUGAUAAGAAUCUCUCUGAUCCAAAGCCUGUAGAUGGAGCCUUGACAAUGAUCUUGGUCAGAUUGGCAGUCGAUGACACCUCCCUUUCGUGCCUGGCACAUUUUUGUGCUGGAACAGAAACUGCCCUUUACCGAAUACGUCUUCUGCAGAAUCGCCUAAAUGUAGACCCUUUGAAUGAAAAGAAGUGGGUCCAAGGACUAAGUGCCAUUCAUGAGAGUCUGAACAAGAAAUGCCUCCCACUGUGCUCCAUGCAUGCAAGCGAUCUACUUCUUGGCAAGAUUACUCUCCAAGAUAUUGAUUGUACUCAGUUUGUUGAUGUGAUGUGA
rnacentral:rRNA from 1 species